AUGAACGCUAGCGGCAGGCUUAACACAUGCAAGUCGAGGGGCAGCACGGGUAGCAAUACCUGGUGGCGACCGGCGCAAGGGUGCGUAACGCGUGAGCAACAUGCCCUAUACAGGGGGAUAAUCCAGGGAAACUUGGUCUAAUAUCCCAUAGUAUUUAGAGGAGGCAUCUUCUAUAAAUUAAAGCUUCGGUGGUAUAGGAUUGGCUCGCGUGACAUUAGCUAGAUGGUGAGGUAACGGCUCACCAUGGCAAUGAUGUCUAGGGGUUCUGAGAGGAAGGCCCCCCACACUGGGACUGAGACACGGACCAGACUCCUACGGGAGGCAGCAGUGAGGAAUAUUGGUCAAUGGGCGCAAGCCUGAACCAGCCAUCCCGCGUGCAGGAAGACGGCCCUAUGGGUUGUAAACUGCUUUUCCAGGGAGAGAAACUUACGCACGUGUUGCGUGACUGACGGUACCCUGGGAAUAAGCAUCGGCUAACUCCGUG
rnacentral:rRNA from 1 species